rnacentral:rRNA from 1 species
CCCUUAGAUGUCCUGGGCCGCACGCGCGCUACACUGAUGCAUUCAACGAGUUUAUAACCUUGGCCGAGAGGCCUGGGCAAUCUUGUUAACGUGCAUCGUGAUAGGGAUAGAUUAUUGAAAUUAUUAAUCUUGAACGAGGAAUUCCUAGUAAACGCAGAUCAUCAAUCUGCAUUGAUUACGUCCCUGCCCUUUGUACACACCGCCCGUCGCACCUACCGAUUGGAUGGUCCGGUGAAGCCUCGGGAUUGUGGUUCUUGCCGCUUUAUUGUGGCGUGACCGCGAGAACUUGUCUAAACCUUAUCAUCUAGAGGAAGGUGAAGUCGUAACA